CCAUAUGGUGAACAAUUUAUUGGAGAUAAACAUUAACAUAACUUGGCCAUAGCUUGAAGCAUAGCAACAUAUGCCUAUGAAUGGCAUUCAUGCUGGUAGCAAUGCAAUCAUAUCGUUUUAGGCUUGUCCAGCUUCUUCCAUCUUAGCAAGCACUCCCAUUUCUUCCAUCUUAGCAACAACUGUCAAACUGAGAUAUGAAAAUCCCGUUAGCACAUGAGUUAGUUUUGCAGUGGAAAUAGAGUACAAGAUGUCUUCAUGAUGUAAGUAACAUGCCUGAAGUUGUGAGAUGGGAAGUGAAGUCAACAAAUUACAUUAACGGAAAUGCAUGGAAGGCCACGCAUGCAUACGUAUUAGUCCACGAUAUGCUACAAAGCCUUGUAUGUACACAUAACAAAUUAAAUGCAUUGAAUAGAGUGAGUUUAGUGAAUUUUACCGGAAUCGGUCAGAGUACAUGGGAAACAGCAAGUGUUCUUGCAGAUGAAGUCGGGGCUACCCGCAGCAAUACAAGCAAAACAACAUGCUUUUGCUCGGGUGGAUACGCAGCAGCCGCACUGUGCCGCGGUGGCCGGGUUAACAUUGAGGCUCAAGAUGACCAGGCACAUGAUCACCAUCAAAGCGGUAGUCCUCUUUCCCUCCAUUGCCUUCUCUUGCUGCUACCUUCCUUGGUUACCUAGCUAAGUUUAUUGGUUUUGUGUUGAGAGGUGAUUCUUGAAUGGACGUUGCCGGCUGCAAUUUACAUGGUAGGCAAAAAUGGAGGGGAGAUUUACUCCCGGUUGGUAUUUGCAACUGGGACUAAAGGCCCCCCUUUAGUCCCGGUUGUAACGGCUAGUUCUAGGGCGUCGGUGGGUUUACUGGCUCCAACCGGGACAAAAGGGUGGGUGGACCUUUUGUCCUGGUUGGUGUUACCAACCGGGACAAAUAGUUUACUCCCGGUUGGAGGUUCCAACCGGGACAAAAGGGCCACCCCUUUUGUCCCGGUUGGAGCCUCAAACCGGGAGUAAACUUUCAACCGGGACAAAAGGUGUUUCUUUUUGUGUCGGUUGGAGUUUCUAACCGGGAUAAAAACUCAUCCCCAUUAUAUACCAAGACAGAGGCCUUUCUUCCUCCUCCAGCCCGAGCCAGUCCACCACAAAGACAGAGAGCUCAGCUUCACCUACUCUCCGGUGGUGUCGAAGCAAGGGAGGUGCUGCCCGAAUUUCUUUUCCCUCAUUUUCGUGGGAAUUUCACUCAGCCAACACAAGUGUUGUGAAGGUUUGCUACUUCAUCCUCGUGUUACGCUUUAAUUUAUGCUUUGGAGAUGGAAAGUUUAUUUGCUAGAAUGUGAUGAAGUAGAAAAUGGAGAGGUACUUUGAGCUAGAAUGUGAGGGAGAUUGAUGUGUCAUAUAUAGUAUGUAUUCUUGCAGUGAUUUAAGAAUGAUGCUACCUUGUCUAGACGGUUUAUCUUAUCAAAUUCAAUAUGGUUUUUAAAAUCCAUACUUGUUGAACUUGCAUACCGUGUUCAUGUCGGCGAGAAUGUUCUCUGCCGAGCAGCUACGUAUGUCAAGAAGGAGGUUCGAUUCUACGAGAAAGAGUGGAUACGGACAUCGUGACCGUGUCCCCUUUUUCGUAGAAUCGAACCUCUUUCAUGACGAAGUGCGGUGCCGCCAACUAGGUANNNNNNNNNNNNNNNNNNNNNNNNNNNNNNNNNNNNNNNNNNNNNNNNNNNNNNNNNNNNNNNNNNNNNNNNNNNNNNNNNNNNNNNNNNNNNNNNNNNNNNNNNNNNNNNNNNNNNNNNNNNNNNNNNNNNNNNNNNNNNNNNNNNNNNNNNNNNNNNNNNNNNNNNNNNNNNNNNNNNNNNNNNNNNNNNNNNNNNNNNNNNNNNNNNNNNNNNNNNNNNNNNNNNNNNNNNNNNNNNNNNNNNNNNNNNNNNNNNNNNNNNNNNNNNNNNNNNNNNNNNNNNNNNNNNNNNNNNNNNNNNNNNNNNNNNNNNNNNNNNNNNNNNNNNNNNNNNNNNNNNNNNNNNNNNNNNNNNNNNNNNNNNNNNNNNNNNNNNNNNNNNNNNNNNNNNNNNNNNNNNNNNNNNNNNNNNNNNNNNNNNNNNNNNNNNNNNNNNNNNNNNNNNNNNNNNNNNNNNNNNNNNNNNNNNNNNNNNNNNNNNNNNNNNNNNNNNNNNNNNNNNNNNNNNNNNNNNNNNNNNNNNNNNNNNNNNNUGUUGAUUUUAUUGACUCAAUUGACUCGAUUGGGGUUCCAACUUCACGCCACGAGGGGAGGCUCCGGGAAAUGGGCACCCUUGGAAGGAAAUCAAGUUUGAGCAAUGAUACUGAUUUGUUCGACAAGGCACACUACACUGUUCUGCAAUAGUCAUCCUUUGUGUCUCCCUAUAUCGAGCAGCACAGGCAGAUGGUAGUUUUCCAAAAACCUGAUGAAAUCCGAUGCUUGGCUUACACAUCAUCACAUGGAAACUUUUUCCUCCUGGUUGCGCCAACAACUCAUGGGUAACUCUGAGAUUUACCCACAGCUCGCUUGGUUAGCCAGGGGACCUGCUAGCACAAUCGUGAAAUUCCAAGGCUAUGAGAUAAAUAGUUAUACAUUUUACACGAGAGCCCAGGACCAGAAAAGCACGAACCAGAAUAGUGGUGUCCGCAUAGAUGCCAUAGAUAGAAAUAAUAACAAGGAGUCGUAUUAUGGUUUCAUACAGGAGAUAUGGGAACUCGAAUAUGGACCGCUGUACAUCUCUGUAUUUCUUUGCAAUUGGGUGAAGCUAACUGCCGUAACCAAAGAUCAGUACGGAAUGACAAUAGUAGAUCUGAGCAAGACUGGAUACAGUGAUGACCCAUUCGUACUUGCGAAUGAUGUGCAUCAGGUUUUCUAUGUGAAGGACAUGUCUAGCAAACCCAAGAGAAAUCCAGAAGAGACAUGGGAGCCAAAGUGCCACAUAGUUCUUCCAGGUAAAGAAAAAUCGUUGGAGUCGAGGANNNNNNNNNNNNNNNNNNNNNNNNNNNNNNNNNNNNNNNNNNNNNNNNNNNNNNNNNNNNNNNNNNNNNNNNNNNNNNNNNNNNNNNNNNNNNNNNNNNNNNNNNNNNNNNNGAUCAUGAUCAAGGAACUUUUGUGAAGAAGAAAUUUUACAACGUUGUAUUGUAAUGCGCUAAAUUUACUUGACCUUUGUGAAGUACUUGAUACAAUUUUUAAUUUAACCUAUGUAUGAUUUCAUGUGUUCUUAAAUUUGUUGAGGUGAAGAUUUAUUAGAUAAACAUGAACAAUGUUAACCACAUACAUACAUGGAUUUUUUUUGCGCGUUGAAAUUAUUUAAUUGAAUAAUUUCUCGAUCAUUGCGAUGCAGUAAAAUAAUUAUUUUAGAGGCUAAACGAACUGGUAUAGAAUUAAUGACUAAUUCACACUUAUUGUCAAUAUACUGGCUAAUUAAAUAUAUUUUUGCAUGUUCAAAAUAUGUGAAGUUUUUUGUUUUUGCAUCCUGAAAUGCAGUGAAAACAUACAUAAAAUCCUUUUCCAAAAAACAGGCGGGAGAUGAAAGUGUGGGAAAAGGCCCUUUUGUCCCGGGUGCCAAUAGAAACCGAGACAAAAGGACCUUUUAUCCCUGUUGCCAAAAGCAACCGGGAUCAAAGGCCGUCCCUUUUGUCUCGGGUGCCAACACCAAUCGGGACAAAAGGCCCCCUGUUUAUCCCGGUUGACAACUACAACCGGGAUAAAAGGGUAGUUUUCGUUUCCCACCGGGGACGUACCCUUUUAUCCUGGUUACAGUUAGCAACCGGGAUAAAAGGGGGGCCCUUUUGUCCCGGUUGGUGUUGGUACCCAGGACAGAAGGGCCUUUAGUCCCGGGUUCAAUUACGAACCGGGAUAAAAGAGGGGGGGGGGGAUAAAAGGCACUGUAGCCUCUUCUACCACCACCCACGCUAGUUACGACACUUAGCCAAAUUUUCACCGCUGCCAAGAUCCCGUGCCCUUCCACCUGCUCCGUCGCCGCCCAUCCGCCUCCCUCGCCGGCCGCCGUCGUCCUCGUCGUCCAUCGCCCCGACCAUCGUCGUCCCGCCGCCCGACCGCCUCGCCCGCGCCCGGACCGCCUCCUCCUCCAUCGCCCCGGCCCGCCUCCGAUCCUCCUCCGUCGCGCCCCCUCGACCUCGUCGCCGCCGGCCGCCUCCAUCGCGGGGCCUCGUCGCCGCCUCCAUCAACGCCACAUUCUCUGUCGCCGCCGCGCCCUCGUUCGUCGCGCCGCCUCGUCGCCGCCUCUGUCGCGCGCGCCGCCUCCGUCCUUCGUCGCCGGCCGCCUCCGUCCCUCGUCGUCGGCCGCCUCCGCCCGUUGUUGCUGCGGCCACCUCGCUCCGUCCCCGCCUCCGCCAUCCCACCGCCCCGGCCGCCGCCGUCACGCCGUCCCGGCCAUCUCGUCGCCCAGCUAGGCACCGCGCGAGGUCCGCCGGCACUGGCGCCGGGAACGAACGGCUCUUGCUGACGCAAACCCACCGGCUUGUCGUAAGCAAGGGCCUUUUUUAUUUUUUAGUUAGAAAAUGAAUAGAUAUUAGUAGAUUAGUUAGAAAAUCAAUAGAUAUUUGUAGAUUAGUUAGAAAAUUAGUAGAAAAUCAGUUGAUAAAUUUUGUAGAAAUUCAUUCAAAUUAGUAGGAAUUAGUAGUAAUGUGCUAGAAAUUCAAAUAAAUAUGUUGAAAUUAGUAGAAAUUUGGUAGAAAUUCUUACAAAGUACUACUAAUUUGUUGAAAUUUGUAUAAACAUUCCAAACUUUGUGGGAUUCAUGUUAUUGUAAAAUUAUUAGGCAUUAGUAGAAAUUUUGUAGAAAUUCCAAUAAAUAUGUAGAAAUUAGUAGAAAUUUGGUAGAAAUUCUUACAAAGUACUACUAAUUUGUUGAAAUUUGUAUAAACAUCUCGGAUCAGCGCUUGGGUUCUGUAAGUGUCCGUUUAUCUACAUGUAAAUUUUGCCUCAUAUCAUUAUUUUUUUUGCGUGCGUCACCGUACUAACUUCGUCUUCCAUUUUAUGUAGCAUGCUAAUUCAGACGUGCCGACGUGAGGCGUACCUACAUAUUGGCUUCAUGAAUCCAUCCGUAGUUAACCAAAAACAGAUACAAUUAUCGCCGGAAAAAACCUUGGUGGAAGUAUACAAUUUCCUAGAUAAACAAAAAUUCAAGGAUUUCAUACUACUUCCAUACAACUUCAAGUAAGUGUGUGUAUACCGUCUACUUUCGUUGUCUUUUUCCUUACCUGAUUAAUUAGUUAGCUCUAAUAUGCAUGAACAUUUUACGUACGCAACUUCCACUGGAUCCUCAUUAUAGUUGAGCUUGAAAGAAGCCAUGUCACUGUCUUCGAUUUGUUGAGGAAAGAUCCAGUGGAGUACCAAGACAUGCAAGACAUGCUAGGCUUGUAAUAAUUCUGGACCUUUAUCUCUAUGCAAAAGUUUGUUUCCUAAAUUUUAUCCCUGUUACACUAUAUCAUUCAUUAUUCUAAUCUACAGCGCAUGGAAACAAUUCAUAAGGACACACAAAGAUCCAUUCAAAGAAAAACUUACAUGGAACACAGACUUCCCGUUACGUAUGAAGUCUGCACAUUUAGUACAUUGUAUAACACGAAUAUUUCAUAACUUAUUUUUUUCGGCACUGAAGUGCUUAAGACAGGAACUCGGGAAUAAUCUAUGUGGCUACUACAUCUGUGAGCACAUGCACAGUUUUAUGGGACCCAAGGGACUAAAGAUGAUGCCGCAAAACUUUAAAGUACGUAAAAUAAAACUAUUACUAGUUAAUUAUUUUCUAGCUCCUUAUAUUUAAUUGUUCGUGUAACAUUCACAAAUUUCCAAAUUAUAGAUGUUAAAUAUUCAACAAGGACUCUUGAAGAAAAAAAAGGGUAGCGGCAAUAUGUGAAGGUCUCAUUGGAUUCCUAAUGGACGAGGUGGUAAAUCCACAAGGAGAAUUUUAUUACGAUGGACGUCAAUUAGACGCUCCGAGCAACACCUCGACGGGAAGAUUGUAGAUAUAUAGUUUGAUUUGUAUACAUAAUGCACGCUAAGAUCGAUUUGUAUAUAUAGUUGAUUUCAUUAUACUAGUUGAAUUUUGUAUAUGAAUUGUGUAUAUAUAGUAAUUGUAUAAUUACAAAUUUUAUUCGUUUAAAUACUAGUUGAUUUCAUUAUAAAAAAAGUCUCAACUACUAAAGGUUAACAAAAGGGCCGCGGUACUACGUACGUGAUGCAUGAAAAUUUCAGACGCCAUGCAGGAAAAUUUAAAUAGGACUUUAGUCUCGGUUGGGAAAUCCAACCGGGACUAAAGGGUAACCACUCAUGUGCGCCACCUGUAUUCUACCAAGUGGCAUGUGGUAAUGCCAUGUUUGUUUUAAUUUCGUCCAUCAGCAUUCACAAUGAUAUCAUCACCAUUAUGUAAUUAUGCCACUUUUAAUUUUCUUGCAACUCUGUGAAGUUAACAGUCUCUGAUCAAGUUUCUGAGGAUUGCUAUAUCUUUGUUUAUUAUCUACGGAAGUUGACAGCACAUCCACCAUAAUUCAUGGCCCACCAGACUCUAAGUCCACUGCGAGUAUAUAUUAAUUUGUUUUAAUCCGACUAUACUAGAUGUGUACCAAUCAUUCGAUGUGAGGGACGAACUAAUUGUUUCUUGUCGACUAUUGCACCGUACCUCUCGUUUUCCAAACAAUUAAAUGGUACCCUUCCAUGAUGGUUAAAACAUACCGACUAUCUAUAUUAUUGCUUUCUUGAGCAUACCAAAGGGAACGAGAUAAUCACAGACAAGAUAUUAUAUACUAAAAGGUACAGAAAUAAAUAUAAAUUAAUCACGAGUUAAUUGGUAUGAUGAUGUUAUAGAUCAUUUAUAUACUGCGCCGUUCAACUUCUGUGGCCUGUCCGGCUUCUUCCUUUCCCCAUAUAAUGUAAUACGUUCAACUCAAAUGAAUGAAAUCAAAUUAUGCGUGUAUUAUUCUCGCUUUCAGUAGGGGCUAAAUCUCUCGAAAAUCCAUCCGGGAUAAAGAUGAGAAAUUAAUCCAUGCGUGGCUUCAUGCAAAUUUGUUCAGAUCAGGUUUGAACAGCAUGUAAUCUUUUUCAGGCAUCUAUAUGGAGCGUGGGUGUGUUAUGUUAUCUUCUACUACACAUAUAACAUUAAAUUCAUUCAGUUUGGCCGAGAGCCCAAAAUGCAACGAAUAUGCCAUCCAACGUGAAAAAAAGAUGUGGAACAGUAUACUCUAUCUUCGAAAUUAAUUAACGAGAUUCAGCUUCAAAAGAGAUAAGAGCAGACAAGAGGCACAUGGGUGCAUGCAUCCACACCUUGGGAUGCUGCAAAAUUUGGGAUCACGUGUGCGGAUCCCUAAUUAGGAAAAAAGAAUAAUUGUGCUAGCAAAAUGUGGAACACGACUGCCGGCCCAGUUGGCGCUAAGACAUCGUACGUGCAUUAAGUCUGAGGUGCCCAACGAUCUCUUUCUUUAACUCAUGCUUGACUGUGACGGUGCUAUUAUAUAAUAUUGCAUGAUCAUCAUGAUAAGAUCGUAUAGUGACUGAGUGAGACAUGUACUAUAACUUGCAUUUAAGCCUCGAACUGUGUGUCGUUACGUGAGCUGCCUCCUCUCCUCGCCUCUGAAUUAUUGAACCGUUUCCAACAGUGUUGGUCUCGACGAAAUUUGACACCAACCAGAUUUACGAAGAAAAGAGAAUAAUACUUGGAAUUGGGAAAAGUUGAUCUCUCUUUACAAUGGGUAGGUGCUCCCCUUUUAUAGUGACCCAUGACCCCCUUUACAUUCCAAAAAUAUCCUUUCUCAACCACUACAUUCCUAGGAUAUGCCGUACAAAUUGAACUCUUCCACGUGGUCACAUUUCUCACGCCUCCUGUUUUCCAACCUCGAGACUUCAUCUUCACGCCAAGUUGAUCAUCUAGCCUCGAGGCUCCAUCCACGAUCCGGAAUGAACGUCCAGCCUCGAGGCUCCUGCUUGUUAGAAGAACCGUCGUAUGAGACGAGGAUUGUAUCUUAGAGAUAAGAGUUGUUAUGGUUUGAGUUGGCCGGCUAGUAGAUAGAGAUAGAAUCUUGAUGUAUUUGAAUGCUGGCUAAACUUUAUCUAUAACAAGAUGCAUUGUAAUCUGUUGGGACUUUCCCCCUAUAUAAACGUGCAACCACGGCGAGCCAAGAUAGGGCAACCGUGUUCAACUCUUUUGACAUGGUAAUCAGAGCCCUUCUUCCAUAAAAUACAUCUACAUCUACACCACCUGGCGCACGCCACCUUGUUGCCUGGCACACGUCAUCACCUUGCAUGCAACAGUCAUGGUGUCAUCAUCGUCGUCGUCAGCCACUGCGCCCACGGCGUCGCAGCUUGGAGCUCCUGUAGCUGAAAAGCUUACAGGGGAGAAUUAUGUCUUAUGGAAGGCUCAAUUCUUGCCUGCUGUGCGGGCGCACAGCUCAUGGGAGUCCUCAAUGGAUCUGUCAAGGAGCCGGCUAAGACCAUGGAACUGGUGAAGGCUGACGGCAAGAAAGAAUUAGUCGCUAACCCGGAUUAUGAUCUAUGGGUGGUGAAGGAUUAACAACUGCUGAGUUAUCUGCUCAACUCCAUGACCAAAGAAGUGCUGGCACAAGUGGUGUCCGAAACAACUCUAUGGGUGGAGAAAGCAGUGCUUCGUUAUUUGCGAAGAUGUCAUGAAGAUGCUGUUGCGGCGGGUCAGGAACCUCCUUUUGGUGGUCGUUAUGCUCCACCGCCAUUCCCGGGUGUUUUAGGUCCACUUAUUAGUACUACUGUUGCAGGAGGUACAGAUAAACCACAUGAUGAGGCUGCCUCAGCGAAACCUUCAUCUUCGCCGCCCAAGGAUGCAUGAAGUCCUUCUAGAUAGUACUAAGUGGAUGGUUUGUCGUAGUGUAUCAUGUUGUUGUUGCUCUCAAAUUUAAAUUUGUGUAUUUCUACGUAAACUUUCAGCAACAUUUGAGUGUAAUCAAUUUUCACGCGUAAUCCAUUGUCAAGUGUAAUCCAUUUUCAUGCGUAAUACGAUGCAGAUGGACCGGCAAUGGAUGUAUAAUGCAGACAGGCGGAGCAAGGUGUUUAUUGAUGGCUUGUAUUAUUUUCUCGAAGUGGCCAAAGCGAACAAGCUAGAGAAUGGGUUCGUAUGUUGUCCAUGCUUCCAAUGCAAUAACAAGAAGGAGUAUUCAAAGGAUUCCUGGGGGACUAUUCACAGCCACUUGUUUAAAUACGGUUUCAUGCCUAACUAUUUGGUUUGGACCAAGCACGGUGAACUAGGGGUCGUAAUGGAAGAUGGCGAGGAGGAGGAGGAAGAUGACACCAUUUCGGACUGGGUUGCAGGCCAAGCUUUUGCAGGUACUACAAUGGGCGAGGCUGAUGAAGAUGGGUUUGCAGAAAAUGGCCCUACUGAUGACCUUGGUCAGGUGAUACGAGAUGCAUACAGAGAUUGCGAAACUGAGAAGGAAGCAGCAAAGUUGCAGCGCAUGAUAGAUGAUCACCAAAAAUUGUUGUACCCAAGUUGCCAGCAGGGCCAUAAAAAACUAGGUACGAUACUAGAAUUUGUGCAAUGGAAGGCAAAAAAUGGUGUGUCCGAUAAGGCAUUUCAGGGGACGUUGAACAUUGUCAAGAAGAUUCUCCCCGAGAAUAAUGAAUUACCGUGCACAACAUAUGAAGCUAAACAGAUUAUUUGCCCUCUCGGAUUGGAUGUUCAGAAGAUACACGCAUGCCCUAAUGACUGUAUCCUCUAUCGUGGUGAUGAAUAUGAGAAAUUGGAUGUUUGUCCCGUCUGCGAAGCCCUGCGGUAUAAGAUCAGGCGAGAUGAUCCUGGUGAUAUCGAGGGGCAGUCUCCCAAGAAGAGAGUUCUCGCGAAGGUGAUGUGGUAUUUCCCUAUAAUACCACGCUUGAAGCGCUUGUUCAGGAACAAGGCGAAUGCUAAGUUGAUGCGAUGGCACAAAGAAGACCGUAAGGAAGAUGAGAUGCUGAGACACCCCGCAGAUGGGGCACAACGGAGAUCAAUUGAUAGAGCAUUCCCGGACUUUGAAAGUGAAGCAAGGAACAUAAGGUUUGGUUUAAGUACUGAUGGAUUCAAUCCAUUCGGUGAGUUGAGUAGUGGCCAUAGUACUUGGCCUGUGACCCUUUGUAUGUUCAACCUUCCUCCUUGGCUGUGCAUGAAGUGGAAGUUCAUUAUGAUGCCGGCGCUUAUCCAAGUCCCAAAACAACCCGGCAACGACAUUGACGUGUACCUAAGACCGUUGGUUGAUGACCUUUUACAGCUCUGGAAGGAAGAAGGUGUACGUGUGUGGGAUGAGGAUAGACAAGAGAUCUUUAAUCUACGAGCAUUGUUGUUCGUAACCAUCAAUGAUUGGCCUGCAUUGAGUAACCUUUCAGGACAGACAAAUAAGGGAUAUCGGGCAUGCACCCACUGUUUAGACGACACAAACAACAUGUAUUUGAAGCAUUGUAAGAAGGUCAUCUAUAUGGGUCAUCGUUGAUUUCUCCCUGCUCACCACCAGCUGAGAAAGAGCGGGAUGCAUUUCAAAGGGGCGCCAGACCAUCGUAAAAAACCUGCACACCGUAAUGGAAAGCGUGUCUUCGAGAUGAUGAAGGAUGUAAAUGUAGUCUUUGGAAAGGGUCUUGGUAGCCAACCUGUUCCGAACGACGAUAACGGACAUGCACCCAUGUGGAAGAAAAAGUCAAUAUUUUGGGAGCUACCUUAUUGGGAAAUCCUAGAGGUUCGCAACGCAAUAGACGUGAUGCACCUGACGAAGAAUCUUUGCGUGAACGUGCUAGGCUUCAUGGGUGUUUAUGGGACCUCAAAAGAUACAUUGGAAGCACGACAGGACCUGAAAGCCAUGGGGCAACGAGAUGACCUACAUCCGGAAAAGAGAGAUAAUGGACAUCACUACUUACGUCCUGCCAGUUACACUCUCAGCAAGGAAGAGAAGGAUAGCAUGUUUGAAUGCUUGAAUAGUAUGAAGGUCCCGUUUGGGUACUCCUCGAAUAUAAAAGGAAUAAUAAAUAUGAAACAAAAGAAGUUUACAAAUCUCAAGGCUCAUGACUGCCACAUGUUGAUGACCCAGUUGCUUCCAGUUGCACUGAGGGGUGUUCUACCAGAAAAUGUCCGGUUGCCGCUCGUAAAGCUAUGCGCGUUUCUCAAUGCGAUUUCGCAAAAGGCAAUCGAUCCAUCCAAGCUAUCAAAGCUACAGAACGAUGUGGUGCAAUGUCUUGUCAGUUUUGAGUUGUUAUUUCCACCAUCCUUCUUCAAUAUUAUGACGCACUUACUGGUUCACCUAGUUAAAGAGAUUGGUAUUCUCGGACCUGUAUACCUGCACAAUAUGUGGCCUUUCGAGAGGUUCAUGGCAGUCCUAAAAAACUAUGUUCUUAAUCGUGCCUGUCCAGAAGGAAGCAUUGUCAAGGGAUAUGGAAUAGAGGAGGUGAUCGAGUUUUGUGUUGAUUUUAUUGAUUCAAUUGACUCGAUUGGGGUUCCAACUUCACGCCAUGAGGGGAGGCUUCGAGGAAUGGGCACCCUUGGAAGGAAAUCAAGUUUGAGCAAUGAUACUGAUUUGUUCGACAAGGCACACUACACUGUUCUACAACAGUCAUCCUUCGUGUCUCCGUAUAUCGAGCAGCACAGGCAGAUGGUAGUUUCCAAAAACCCGACCAAAUCCGAUGCUUGGCUUACCCGUCAUCACAUGGAAACUUUUCCCUCCUGGUUGCGCCAACAACUUAUGGGUAACUCUGAGAUUCACCCACAGCUUGCCUGGUUAGCCAGGGGACCUGCUAGCACAAUCGUGAAAUUCCAAGGCUAUGAGAUAAAUGGUUAUACAUUUUACACGAGAGCCCAGGACCAGAAAAGCACGAACCAGAAUAGUGGUGUCCGCAUAGAUGCCAUGGACAGAAAUAAUAGCAAGGAGUCGUAUUAUGGUUUCAUACAGGAGAUAUGGAAACUCGAAUACGGACCGCUGUACAUCCCUAUAUUUCUUUGCAAUUGGGUGAAGCUAACUGCCGUAACCAAAGAUCAGUACGGAAUGACAAUAGUAGAUCUGAGCAAGACUGGAUACAGUGAUGACCCAUUCGUACUUGCCAAUGAUGUGCAUCAGGUGUUCUAUGUGAAGGACAUGUGUAGCAAACCCAAGAGAAAUCCAGAAGAGACAUGGGAGCCAAAGUGCCACAUAGUUCUUCUAGGUAAAAGAAAAAUCGUGGGAGUCGAGGAUAAAACAGACCAAUCAGAUGAUUAUGAUCAGUUUGAUGGCAUGCCUCCAUUCGCCGUUGAAGUUGAUCCAAGCAUCCUGCUAUCUAAAGAAGAGGCUCCGUACUUACGCCGCGAUCAUGAUCAAGGAACUUUCGUGAAGAAGAAAUUUUACAACGUUGUAUUGUAAUGCGCUAAAUUUACAUGACCUUUGUGUAUUAAUUGAUACAAUUUUUAAUUUACCCUAUGUAUGAUUUCAUGUGUUCUUAAAUUUGUUAGGUGAAGAUUUUUUAGAUAAACAUGAACAAUGUUAACCACACACAUACAUGGAUUUUUCUGCGCAUUGAAAUUAUUUAAUUGAAUAAUUCUUGAUCACAGCGAUGCAGUAAAAUAAAUAUUUUAGAGGCUAAAUGAACUGGUAUAGAAUUAAUGACUAAAUCACACUUAUAGUCAAUUUACUCGCUAAUUAAAUAUAUUUUUGCAUGUACAAAAAUAUGUGAAGGUUUUUGUUUUUCAUCCUGAAAUGCAGUGAAAAGAUAAAUAAAAUCCAUUUCCAAAAAACUUGCGGGAGAAGAAAACUAGGAAAAAGACCUUUUGUCCCGGGUGCCAACAGCAACCGCGACAAAAGGCGUCCCUUUUAUCCCGGCUGCAAACUGCAACCGGGAUAAAAGGGUAUUUUUCGACUCCCGCCUGGACGUACCCUUUUAUCCCGGUUGCCAACUGCAACCGGGAUAAAAGGUCCCCCCCUUUUAUCCCGGUUGGUGGUGGGAUCCGGGAUAAAAGGGUAGGCUCCCAGGCCAUCCUGGCGGACGCACCCUUUUGUCCCGGGUGCCAUUACGAACCGGGAUAAAAGGGGGGGGGGUUAAAUGGCACUGUAGCCCCUUCUACCCCCCACGCCAGUUACACUUAGCAAAAUUUUCGCCAAGUCUGCGCGCGCUCUGCUCCAUCGCCGCCCGUCCGCCUCCCUCGCCGGCCGCCGCCGCCGUCGUCCCCCAUUGCCCCGGCUAUCGUCGUCCCGCCGCCGACCGCGCCCAGACAUCCUCCUCCUCCAUCGCCCCGGCCGGCCUGCCUCGAUCCUCCUCCGUCGCGCCCGACCCCUACCUCGUCGCAGCCGGCCACCAGCUCCAUCGCGGGCCUCGUCGCCGCCUCCAUCCUCGUCACCGCCUCGUCGCCCCGGGUCGCCGCCUCGUCGCCCUUCGUCGCCCCUCGUCGCCGCCUCAUCACCGUCCCGCCUCCGCCAUCCCGCCGUCCCGCGCGCCUUCGCUCCGUUGUCGCCUCCGCCGUCCCGCCGCCCCGGCCGUUACCGUCCCGCUGCCCCGGCCGCCGCCGUCCCGCCGCCCCGGCCACCUCGUCGCCCCGGCCACCGUCGACCGCGCGCGAGAGGUCCGCCGCGCCGGCCGGCACUGGCGCCGGGAGUACCGCCUUGCUGACGCAAGCCCACCGGCUUGCGUCAGCAAGGGCCUUUUUUUUAAGUUAGAAAAUAAAUAGGUAGUAAUUAGGUAGAAAUUCAAUAGAUUUCUGUAUAUGUGUUAGAAAAUCAAAAUAGUGUAAAUUAGUAGUAAUUAGUAGUAAUUAGGUUCAUCGCUCCGCCUAGGUUAGAAAUGAAUCGUGUUUCGUCGUGGUUCCGUCCCCGUCUCCGCCGUCCCGCCGCCCUGACCGCCAUCGUCCCAACCUAGGCACCGUCCGUGGUUCCGUCCCCGCCUCCGCCCUUCAGCCUCCGUCGCAAAUUCAUGUUAUUGCUAGAAAUUCCAAUAAAUAUGGACAAAUUAGUAGAAAUUUGGUAGAAAUUAAUCAUUGCUAAGGCCACCUCACUCCGUCCUUGCCUCCUUUGUUCCGCCGCCCCGGCCUCUGCAAAUUCAUGUUAUUGCUAGAAAAUCGUAAAAAUUCAUGUUAUUGCUAGAAAAUCGUAAAAAUUCAUGUUAUUGCUAGAAAUUCGUAAAAAUUCAUGUUAUUGCUAGAAACUCGUACAAAAUUCAUGUUAUUGCUAGAAAUUCGUAAAAAUUCAUGUUAUUGCUAGAAAUUCGUAAAAAUUCAUGUUAUUGCUAGAAAUUCGUACGAAUUCAUGUUAUUGCUAGAAAUUUGUCACAAAGUACUACUAAUUUGUAGAAAUUUGUAUAAAUAUUCCGAACUUUGUGGGAUUCAUGUUAUUUUAUGAUUUCAUGUAUAUACCCGUAUGUACAUAUAACUAAGGCGAUUUCUAUGACUGUCAUGUAUGAUUCCAUGUAUGUUUCAAUCAAUAGUUGAAAUGGCAGACGAUGAGACCGCAAGGUAUAUCAUGGAGCAGAUAAUCGCUGGUGAUGGUAGUGGCGACAACCUUUUACUAUCGUACAUGGAUAAAGAGGGCACCCAGGCGGACAUGUUCCUCAACAUGUUCGCUGAUGGGAAUGAAGAGCAAGAGCCCCAGCAACACCUUGCCGUGCCGGAAGGUUCCGGCGAGGUAUAUAUAAUGAUUCUUGUAUUGUUUCACACCACCGUUACUACUACGUACUAAUUAACGAAUCUUGAACUGUUAGCCCUCUGGAUCGACGCAAGGGCAGAAGACCCGAGGUCAUACAAAGGUGAUGGAAGGGAGGCUUGUCAUCACGGAAGUGACAGAAGAGGGCAGGUCGGUUUCUCCCGAGAAAGUAGCAAAGAAGUACGUGAGUCAGAUCGGGGCAAUCAUCCGGGACAACGUGCCUAUCAGCAUCAGAGAAUGGAAGGGCAGAAGCACUAAUCCGUACGUCCUCCCGGAGACAGAAAAGAAUAUGCUGUGGGAAGACGUCAAGAGACAUUUCACAUUCCCUGAAGGAUAUAUUGAGAAGGAUGUGAAAGCGUGGACGCUUAAGAAGAUGGCUACACAAUUCCAGACAUUCAAGAAGAUGCUGGAUACCCACUACAUUAAGAAGGGUCGAACUCCAGACUUCAACGCGUGGCCAAAGUUGAGGGACCACUGGGAUGCAUUUGUUGAAUAUAAGAGGAGUGAAGACGGUGUGAAAAAGAUCAUGACCAACACAACAAAUGCUAGUCAGAAGGGCUACCAUCAUCAUCUGGGGUGAGGUGGGUAUGGCUCAGCAAUUCCCAAGUGGAGGAAGAUGGAACAAGAUCUGAUCGAACGGGGAAUCGUACCGGCAACUAUUGAAUGGCCCGAACAAUCAAAAAAUUGGUACUACGCUCAUGGAGGCUCCUUGAGCCAAGAGGAUGGGACGUUGAUUUUCAAUGACACAAUACGUGAGAAGGCCGAACAUCUUGUGAAGAACAUUGAAGAUUCUAAGGCUGGGAGGUUGAAGGUGGACCGAGAAAAUAAUGAGCUCACAUUGGCCCUCGGUAAUCCGGAGCACCUAGGAUGUUGCCGGGGGUUCGGGGUCGUUCCGUGGAAGUUUGCUUUCCGAGGCGACAGCGCCUCGUACAGAAGCCGGAAGCGAAGAAAGGAACAGAUCGAGGAGAGCUAGCGGCAGAUGCUAGAAUCUAAAGUGCACGCACAAGAACAAAGAAUGAUGGAGGAAAUCUAUCGUCGAGUGGCCCACGCAGUUGCGGAGUUGGCCCAAUCUGGAGCAUUGCCGAAUCCUAACACCGCCAGCCCUUCUCAACGCCUCUUGAGCAGAUGUGCUUCUACAGGUGUCCCCGAUGCGCAGACGCCCAGGUUACCCGUGGAGGAGCAACGGUUCCCCGUGGAUGCCAUCAUGCAACGGACCUCAUGUGAGCUGCAUGCACCGGUCGGCAACCUCACUAUUAAGGUAUACUAGCUUAUACAUAAUAUUUAUGCAAUCUUGUCAAUUGAUCCACGCCUCGAGAUCGGAGUUCAACUUGUUUACUUCUGCUAUAUGUACAGGUAGCGUACGAGAGUGCGUUAGCAACGCUGGCGGGGCAGAGCAGUCAUGGCAUGGAGAUUCCACUUGGCUACGCCAGCGUCCGCGUAGAGCAAAUAGUUGAUAGCCAAUAUGAAGGUCUAGAGCUCGACCUCCCGGGAGGCGACGGGGAAAAGACACUGGAAGAUGCGCUUCAUGGGAUCAUUCUAUGGCGAAAACGCUACAUCAUUAUUCCCGGCACGGAGCCAUCUCCUCAGAGCUCAAGACCGCUCCCCGUAGAUCCCCAGCAGCGGCCUUCUCCUUAUAGCUCGAGACCGUCAUCUCCUGCACAACCUGCACCAGGACCGUCCCUUCCAUCUAUAUCAAGGUCUCCAUCUCCACCACAUCCUGGUGGUGGGAGCGACGACGACAAUAACAACACCCCUCCCCGAUCACCGUCGCCGGCACCAAGAGCGGCCCCCAUGAAGGAACCUGCACCACCACUAAAGAAGUCACGAGCACCGCCUCCCAAGCAAAGACAGAGAAAGAAGAAAACAAGGGAGCCUGAAGUGACUCGUAAGGAACGCUGGGAGGCAAUGUCUCAUGCGGAACAGUGGGCAGAAAUCCAACGAGAGGCCAGUGAGUGGUUCAAGAAACAAGCCGAAGAAAAAAAAGCAAGGGAGAUGGAGCCACCGCCAGUAAAUCGAAAAGAUUUAAACUUUCUUAUCAGGAUGGAAGAAGGAGCCAAUAAAAGGAUACCACUCUUAUCAAACUAUGAACGGGCUUUAGUAAAGGCUGAUGAAAAGGAUAAAAGGAAAGGAAAGUCAUCUUCCAGCAGUGCUGUCCCCGACCUCAGCCAUUUAUCAAAAAAAGACGCUCAACGGGUAAAAGCAAUGCCCUUGCAUCAACAAGCAGAAGUAUUGAAGAUCAUGCAAGAAACAGGUCUGGGACUUGAUGAAUGCCUAGGGCAAGUUGAGAUGCCAACUGCACCGCCCCCUGAGCCGAGAUGGCCUUAUGAGCUAGGCAAACCUCUAGUAAAGCCUUCAUUGGUACGGAAGCUAUCAACAAAGAUGUACGCAUUCCAUCAAUGGUACAUGAUGGUAUCCGCCGACUCGAGGGAGAUGCUCGGCCUGAAGGUAAAACCGAUAGAUUUUCACGGCGAAGGCGAGAAAGUGCUGUGGCUAGACUUCAAGGAUAUAUACGAAGUGUACCAUCAUGAUGCCCUGGACGUCUCUCUGAUCAGCGCUUGGGUUCUGUAAGUGUCCGUUUAUCUCUACAUGUAAAUUUUGGCGUGCGUCACCGUACUAACUUCGUCUUCCAUUUCAUGUAGGAUGCUAAUUCAGACAUGCUGCCGAGAGGCGUACCUACAUAUAGGCUUCAUGGAUCCAUCUGUAGUUAACCAACAACAGAUAUAAUUAGCGCCGAAAAAACCUUGGUGGAAGUAUACAAUUUCCUAGACAAACAAACAUUCAAGGAUUUCAUACUACUUCCAUACAACUUCAAGUAAGUGUGUGUAUACCGUCUACUUUCGAUGUCUUUUUCCUUAUCUCUACAUGUUAGUUAGCUCUAAUAUGCAUGAACAUUUUACGCACGCAGCUUCCACUAGAUCCUUAUUAUAAUUGAGCCUAAAAGAAGCCACGUCACUGUCUUCAAUUCGUUGAGGAAAGAUCUGGUGGAGUACCAAGAAAUGCAAGACAUGCUAGGCUUGUAAUAAUUCUGGACCUUUAUCUCUAUGCAAAAGUUUGUUUUCUAAAUUUUAUCCCUGUUACACUAUAUCAUUCAUUAUUCUAAUCCGCAGCGCAUGGAAACAAUUCAUAAGGACACACAAAGGUUCAUUCAAAGAAAAACUUAUAUGGAACACAGACUUCCCGGUACGUAUGAAGUCUGCACAUUUAUUACAUUGUAUAACAAGAAUAUUUCAUAACUUAUUUUUUUCCGCACUGAAGUGCUUAAGACAGGAACCCGGGAAUAAUCUAUGUGGCUACUACAUCUGUGAGCACAUGCACAGUUUUAUGGGACCCAAGGGACUAAAGAUGACGCCGCACAACUUUAAAGUAUGUAAAAUAAAACUAUUACUAGUUAAUUAUUUUCUAGCUCCUUAUAUGUAUUUGUUCGUGUAACAUUCACAAAUUUCCAAAUUAUAGAUGUUAAAUAUUCAACAAGGACUCUUGAAGGAAGAAAGAGUAGCGGCAAUAUGUGAAGGUCUCAUUGGAUUCCUAAUGGACGAGGUGGUAGAUCCAAAAGGAGAAUUUUAUUACGAUGGACGACAAUUAGACACUCCGAUCAGCAACACCUUGACGGGAAGAUUGUAGAUAGAUACUUUGAUUUAUUUGUAUAUAUAAUACGCGCUAAUUAUGAUCGAUUUGUACUAGUUGAAUUGUGUAUCAGAAUUGUGUAUAUAUAUAGUAAUUGUAUAAUUACAAAUCCCAUUCGUUUAAAUACUAGUUGAUUUCAUUCUAAAAAAAUCUCAACUACUAAAGGUUAACAAAAGGGCUGCGGUACUACGUACGUGAUGCAUGCAUGAAAAAUUCAGGCGCCAGGCAGUGCCAUGCAGGGCGCCAUUUAGUCCCGGUUGGACCGGGACUAAAGGGCCUAUCCCGCGCCUGGCGUGGCAGGCCCUUUAGUCCCGGUUGGUGACACCAACCGGGAUUAAAGGGGGACCUUUACUCCCGGUUAAAAGACCCGGGACUAAAGACCCCCCCCUUUUGUCCCGUUUGGUUUAUCCCGGAUGGAUUUUCGGGAGAUAUGCACCCUACCAACCGGGACUAAAGGCCAAUUCUCUACCAGUGACGAGUGCACGAUCAGACAUCCUGCAUUGUUAAGUCUUCGAUGAUACGGCUGCCUUGCUUCCUCAGCUUGUCAGCAACUGCUUCCUGACUGCUACAGUACAAUUAUUGCAUGGUAUCAAGGUAAUAUAUAUAGUGACUGAAUGAGCACAUAUAACAUAUGCAUUUAGGCCUCCAACUGGUCAUUGCACGAGCUGCCUCCUCUCCUUACCUCUGAAUUAUGGAGCCAUAUCCAACAACAACCUUGACAGUGAUGAUGAUGACGGCGAUGAUGAAAUUAAGAAAAGAAGCUUUAUGCAAAUUGCAAAAAGCUGAAAUAAGUGGUUGAAACAUUUCAAAUCACCAAAUGCCACAUUUGAAAUGACUAGAUGAAACAUCACGAAAUCAAUUGCAACAGUUGAAGAUGAAACAUUCAAACGCCUUGCCUUUCUCCAGAUUUGACCCUCCAAGCAUAUAUGAGUCCAGCCAUUUGCACAUUAGACCCUUGGGAGGAGCUCACCGGAGAACAACAAGACCGUGUUCUCCAACAAUUUUCCGAUCAAAUUGCAACAUAAAAAACAAAGCAUUGCAACACAUCUGGCAUCGCGAGCUACAACAUCAACCAGUUAGGAUCAGGAGAAAGAGGGCAAACCCAAGCCUAGCAAUGAGUUAUAUCCAGUUUAAACGAGGAUAAAAAUGAGUGUAUUUUCCACUCAUCAUGUUGUCUUUUCGCAGCUGUACCGCCUUUAGUGUGUUGUAUUGUUCCCCUAACACCAAGUCUCCGAGGCCCGAGAAAAUAAGGAAAGUGAUAGCAGCCUAGAAAUCGACCAAGUUUCUUUCCCCCUUUGGCAUUCCUACUAGGAUUCGGAAUACUCUUUCGCAUGACAAUCAUAAUUAUCUCCCAUAAUCCAAAACUCACAAAAACAUCAAAAAUCCGCCGAGAAUAAAUUAAGUAAAAAACAUGCACAAACAGAUAAUAAUAAUAAUCAUGUUUCAAUAAACUUGCUAAGGCCAGAGACAAUACAUAAACAUAUUAGACUGUUCAUGACACAUAUCACGGUGGACAGUGUCUGUGUCCUUAUUACAAGCAGCGAGAGGAAUUAAAUAUGCUUGUCACCACACACACGCGCCCACAGAUGCACGACACACAUAUAGUUGAGACCAACAGAUGGACCUCGACUAGAGGUCGCCCCAUAUGGUGAACAAUUUAUUGGAGAUAAACAUGAACAUAACUUGGCCAUAGCUUGAAGCAUAGCAACAUAUGCCUAUGAAUGGCAUUCAUGCUGGUAGCAAUGCAAUCAUAUCGUUUUAGGCUUGUCCAGCUUCUUCCAUCUUAGCAAGCACUGCCAUUUCUUCCAUCUUAGCAGCAACUGUCAAAUUGAGAUAUGGAAAUCCCAUUAGCGCAUGAGUUAAUUUUGCAGUGGAAAUAGAGUACAAGAUGUCUGCAUGAUGUAAGUAAUAUGCCUGAAGUUGUGAGAUGAGAAGUGAAGUCAACAAAUUACAUUAACGGAAAUGCAUGGAAGGCCACACAUACGUAUUAGUCCACGAUAUGCUACAAAGCUUGUAUGUACAUAUAACAAAUUAAAUGCAUUGAAUAGAGUGAGUUUACUAAAUUUACCAGAAUCGGACAGAACACAUGGGAAACAGCAAGUGUUCUUGCAGAGUGAGUCGGAGCCACCUGCAGUAAUACAAGCAAAACAACAUGCUUUUGCCCGGGCGG
rnacentral:lncRNA from 1 species